CAACCUGUACAAACAGCUGGAUGACAAGAAUAGACUAAAGACAAGACACAACAUUAGAAGCACAGUUUGGAGACAACCUGCUUAAAAUACUUUCAUUUUCUCAAUUAUUAUUACUUAAUGUCAUUUUCUUAUUUUCAUUUAAACAUGGAUUUCAUAAGGAUGAUCAUUUUUGCAUGAACUCACUCUGACCCCACGUCCCUCCCAGGAGGAGCUGUGCCGGCUGCAAACGGAGAACCAGCUGAAGGAGGAGGUGAAGGAGGUGCUGCAGCGCUGGAGGAGCUCGCCGUCAACUACGACCAGAAGAGCCAAGAGGUGGAGGAGAGAGAGAGACAUGAUGGAGACGAGGACAUCAAGGAGCUGCACCUGAAGGGAGCAAAGAGAUGGUCUGCCACAUAUUCACCACAUUGAAUAAGGACUGAAAACUACAAGACACAACAAUAAACUAAUACAAGUUGUUGCUAAUGCUAA